GACGGAGGAUGCAAGCGUUAUCCGGAAUGAUUGGGCGUAAAGCGUCUGCAGGUGGCAGUUCAAGUCUGCUGUCAAAGACCGGGGCUUAACUUCGGAAAGGCAGUGGAAACUGAACAGCUAGAGUAUGGUAGGGGCAGAGGGAAUUCCUGGUGUAGCGGUGAAAUGCGUAGAGUAUCUGGAAGGAACACCGGUGGCGAAGGCGGGCGAUCCUGGACCAAUACUGACGCUGAGGAGCGAAAGCCAGGGGAGCAAAGCGGGAUUAAGAAACCCGG
rnacentral:rRNA from 1 species